CUUUACGUGGCAAGGACGUUGAUGGAGGUUUACCUGUCAGCACCUUGGUGCUUCACAAAGGUGAUGAAACCGGUGGUGGCGUUCCUCAGGUCUCGGGGAGUACGCAUGAUUAUUUACCUGGACAACAUACUGAUUAUGUCCGUGCCCCCCGACCAACAUCUACAGCAUCUGAGCUGGACGGUGGAUCUUCUGGAAAACUUUCUCUUAAAUUAGGAAAAUCCAUGGUGACCCCGACGCAGAAAAUAGAAUUUCUGGGUUUCGAAGUCGAUUCGGUCGCCCAGUUCUUGUUCCUUCCAGAGGCCAAGCUAAAGGCUAUGAAGAAGGAAAUAAGACGUACACUACGGACCACCUCUCUC